UACGUGAGGGUGCAAGCGUUGUCCGGAAUUAUUGGGCGUAAAGAGCGUGUAGGCGGCCAGAUAAGUCCGCUGUGAAAUCUCGAGGCUCAACUUCGAGCUGUCGGUGGAAACUAUCUGGCUAGAGUCCGGAAGAGGAGAAUGGAAUUCCUGGUGUAGCGGUGAAAUGCGCAGAUAUCAGGAAGAACACCCGUGGCUAAGGCGGCUCCUCUAGUACGGUACUGACGCUGAGACGCGAAAGCGUGGGGAGCGAACAGG
rnacentral:rRNA from 1 species